UUUGGUCUGAAAGAAUCUCUCACCUCUUUGCUUCUCUCUCAAAGAAAAUGAAACCCAUAUAGAUCUUUUGGCCAAUAAAAUCGGGUUUGGAUCUGGACAUGAUCAAUUAGAACGAAGUAUGCCUCAUUCCUAACAGUGUUGCUCCUAAGCAGCACAGGUGCUAAAUAUGUCUGUAACACCUGGAUGACUAAACAUGAUGAAUUUGAAGCCAUUAUUUUUUUAGGAGAGAGCAAUACUUGAAGCCGAGUACAAGAAAAUGUAGCACUUAUUGUAUAUCACUUUCACUUUCUUAAGCAUACAGCCUCAUCUGGGUGACAUGUUCUACUCUCAAAGUUGGAAGAAUGUCUUAAUCAGUCCCCCCAACCUGCUGCGAUGAGCACUAAUAAGGCCAGCUCUACAUUUGAAAGCAAGUUACUAUUUGUUGGAUCUCUAGCUACUCAAGUUCUUGUAUAGAAAUGGUGAAAACCAUGUAGAAUGUUGCGAAGUUAUCGUGCUCCAUUGUAGUGCAGAACAUAUGUUCUCCUUAUCGUGCUCCCUUGUCUGCUGGGAAGACGCACCUUCGGCUGCGGAAGUUGUAUGGAGACAAGGCAUUAAAUUGUUGCAGCAUGAGGUAUAAAGAAGAGACCUCACCUACCACUCUCUCUCUCACUUAAGGGAUUGGUGGGGCAGCACGCAUUGUAAGGUUGUGGUGCAGUUACUGGUGACAGUGGUACAAACCCUCUUCCCCUCUCCAUUAGCACAUUCAGUUGCUCCCUCUCCCUCUUGUGUAUGUAUUCUUUUUAUUGGCGAUUAUGGUUGCAAAAAAUUAAAUGUUCACAACAAUGUACCUUGUGCGUUGAGGUGGGUUGAUUUUGCAGAGAAACAAGCUUUUGCAGUGUAGGAAGGGACAUUGAAAAACGAUCUUUUCUCCUAAAGUUAUGCAGUCAUAUAAAGAUGAUUCUGCAUUUACCAAAAAGAAAUAAACCCCGUUUUUAACAUGCAGCCAGGAAUCCAAAAGCGAGACAAAGGUGCAGCAUAAAACGAGUUCAACCUGUUAACAGAAGCACAACCAUUAUCAGUAAGUACUGCUCGAACAUAACUUGUUAACCCUUUCAACUAGACACCUUUUUUUCUUUUUGGACACUAGGUUCAUAUUCAACACCACAAGAAUGGCAAGGAAGCACUAAUGCUUCUAGAUCUUUAAAAAAAAAGAAGGCGAUUCAAUUGUAAGUUAGAUUGUACGGGCAUGAAAUUAUAAAACCAUCCUGCUGUUCAUACUAAGAUCUUUUCUUAUCUA